GGCCCGCCAUUUCUAUCUCAACCACUCUGUUGUUUUUAUCUAUUCUGCCACUCUAAUUUUCUUAGCGAAUACAGACCUCAUUGACUCGAAGGUCAUAUUCCUCUCCGGUUUCCAAUUUGAAAUCCCAAUUCCAGCCCCGGUCUGUCUUAUCCUUCAAAAUCAAAACCUCAGUUCGAUUAGGGUUUCCACCAAAGGUGCGCCCUUCCAUGUCCAAUUCGAUAUCCGAAACUCCAAUUUAUAGAGACAAAAAAGAAAAAGAGAGUGUGGGUUUUGUGAAGCCUGUCUACUUUCCGACGCCCCCGAAUCGAGAACUCAAUGGAGAGCCCUGCAUUUCGCAAUAAACUAACGCCAUUGGAGGUUGCUGAGCAUGGACCUACAUUUACUGGUGUCGGUGCACAAAUUCUCGGUGCUUAUGGCAAGCAUAUUUGUCAGUACUCUGAGGAAUCUCAUAAUCACGGAAGGUUUUCAAGUCAGUCCAAUUGGGCAUCAAGGUUUCAGUUGUGAUGAUGGCGGAAUGUUCUGCAAUCGCCCAUCUUGUAACUUUGUAUUCUUGGUUAUGUAUCUGUUAAGAUCAAGCUGCCCGUGAUGUGGUCAAAUUGUGUGGAAAUCAUGAAGACCGCUUGUUGGGAGUAAAGUACUCAGUCCAAUUUAUGGUUGGGUUGAUGUUGUCUCUCAACACAAGUCUACGGCAGGAUGGCUUGCAGCCCUGCCUGUAUUGAACCCCAUUAGCAAAUAUGCAUGGCAAGCGGAUUGUCAACAGGCGUUUUCUUUUCUCCCAGCCUCCAUUGUUUGGGAUUCAAUGAUUUAACUCAUUUUAUUUGAUAUCUUGCUUAACAAUUCUCGAAUAUGUUAAAACUUUAUUGUGUCGGCCGUCUGCUUGUUGUAUCUGAAUAUAUUAUUUAUGCUGACAGAACUAUUUCCUCAAGUGUAUGAACAUAAUAUCCUUUAUACCUAUAAAUAUGCAUCUUAGAUUGGGAGAUUGUUAGCUGAAGAUCUGUUGUUUAGGCAAUGGGGCACUUCCAUUUGGAGAAUUCCUGAUGAAAAAUUUUAAUAACUAGCAUUUAAAGGUAGAAGCAACUGUGGAAUGUGGAGAGAAAGAUAGCCUGUUAUUCUUGGAAUGCACAAUGAUUCUAUUUAAGACAUAUGGAUUUGUAUGUGGUAUAUGAAUUUAUAAUUUUCCGUAGUAAAGCACAUGUAUUUCUUAUAAAGUAGCUUUUAUUUUCUUUGGGGAUUAUUAUUGUAUGGAUGAACUGGUGCACUCUUUUAUUUAUUGAAUUUAUAAAAUGUCUGGUAUUUAUGUUUUGAGUUAUCAUUAGGGAUUCCCAAUGGGUGCAAACCAUGUGCUUCUCAUCCAAUAUUAUAUGUGCUGUUAUUUGCUCUGUUUUACGCCUAUAUACAUCGUAAUGAUAAUGCCUCAGAUUUUAAAAUUAAAUUUCAGGUUGGAUAGAGUGGGAUGGUGAAAGGAUUGAGUUUCUAAAUGCACUGUCCUAUUCUGAGAAGAACAGGGGGUGGAACAUGCCCAUGAAAAUGGUUUUGGGUUCAAUGUAAUGUUUUUGAAGGUGCGAUUGAGAAGUUGCUCUCACUGCAGUGGGUGGGUUGAGGAAGCUGCCUGGAUUGGCGAGGAAUUUUGAAAAUGCCGCCUUGAUACGUUAAUAUGAGAAAUCCUCUACUACUGACAAGUCAUUUUGCUCUUCUUGAUGUAUUGAUGUCCUAUCUAAUAACUGAUGCAGAUUGGCAUCCUCUACGAUGGGAAAUUUUACAAAUCUGUGCCAUGGAAUAGUGUUGUUUAUUAGGAAAUUGCUUCUUGGGGUUACUGUUAUAUGUGUGCAGGGAAUGAGACACACUUGAUAAUAUUGAUCAAGUGUAAUCACACUACGAGUUUCACAUACCUAUAUUUGAGAUGAACUUCCGUAACUGUAAUCUCAUGAUUCAUCUAAUCAUUUGGAGCCUAACACCUCCAUUACAGUACUCGGCUCCCGAAGCCUUUAAAAAAGAGUACAUAAUAGCUGGUGGAACCUCGUAUUAGGCAGUAUUGCUAUGAUGUUUUUAAGCUCUGUUCAAGAGAACAAAUGGUUAAAUGGGCUUGUUUUAGUGACAGAUAGAAGUUGUUCCUUUAUGUGCAGGUUGAAUAUGAGGCAAGAACAGAGGAUUUGGUACAACCUUAGGUGCUCCAACAUCAAAAGCUGGAUUUGCUCCUGCUUGUAAAGAUACUUAUUUUGGUGUGCUAAGAUUACAAUAGUGGGAAAAGAAAUAUGAUAAAAGCAAGGGGAAGAUUAUAUACUACAUGUCGCAAGCGACAUGGAUGUAGUAGAGGUUGGACGGUGACCGCCAUGCCAGAACUCCUUAGCCAAGCUCUCAGAGUACCAAUUGAUAUGGAUGGAUUUUUGUAAUUUGGUUCCACCAUUCUAACCCCGUGGUUUAUAAUCCUUUGGGAUUUUUAUUUUUUAUAAUAGUAGAAUUCAGUAUUUGUCGUUUUAAUUUCUUUCCUUUCCUGUUGUGAUUUGUAAACAUGCAAAAUGUAAAUAAGAAUUAUGUUUGUUGGCCUUACAUGCUGCU